rnacentral:lncRNA from 1 species
AAAAAUGAAAGUUUUAAAUACAUUUUAUACACAUGUGAUAAAAAAUAAUGAUAUUUGAAAAUACAUAAUUUACAAGAAAUAUACCACACACAAACCAACCCUUAUGUUCCUCAUGACAUUUCCACGUUGGUCCUAUGUUGAGAUGAAUAGUAGCCCGCCACCAUAAAUGAAAAAUAGAUACAAGACAAAAGACAACGUGUCAUGUCUCAACCACGCAUCCAAAUACUAUCCCUCAAUAAUUAAUUUGCUACGUACGUACAGUAUAAACCAUUCAUACAUACACAUAUACAGAAAAAGGUUCAUACAUACACAUAUACAGCAAAAGGUUGCAUUUAAUACAAAAUACAUUAAAACCAAAUACAAAUGAAAAAAUAUACACUCGCAAAUGUCUACGUCUAUUUAUAAACAACAACUGCAAAUACGUACAAACGUAGAAAAUACGCACAAAUUACUUCACAAUAAAAAAAAGGAAAUAACAAAAAAUCCAUGAUAAAUACACAAGGCAGGGAUAGACAUUGAUAAAGAAUAACAAAUAAGUCCUUUUUCUUUUCUUUCAUAACGAUAUAAUCACCCUUCUUUCUUUUUUCACAAACAUAUCACUAACUUUUGCAUCAUCAAUCAUGCCUUUGGCGCCUCCGGC